rnacentral:rRNA from 1 species
CAUUAGCCAUGCAUGUCUAAGUAUAAAUUAUGAAACUGCAGACGGCUCAUUACAACAGUGAUAAACUAAUAGACUUUCGGGUUUUUAACCUUUUGGAUAACCGCAGUAAAUCGGGGCUAAUACAUAGAAGCGAUGGGUGACUGGCAACGGAAGCUCAGCGAUUAUUAGCAUUACUACCAAUACCUUCGGGUCUUGUGGUGAAACCGAAUAAUAUUGCAGAUCGAGGAUUUAUCUUCGACAAGUCUACUGUGUCACUGCCCUAUCAACUUUCGAUGGUACGGUAUUGGCCUACCAUGGUUGUAACGGGUAACGGGGAAUUAGGGUUCGAUUCCGGAGAGGGAGCCUGAGAAAUGGCUACCACUUCUACGGAAGGCAGCAGGCGCGCAAAUUACUCAAUCCCAAUACGGGGAAGUAGUGACAAUAAAUAUCAAUACCUAUCCUUACGGAGGGCAAUUGAAAUGAACACAAAUUAAAACUCUUAAUUAACACAAUUGGAGGGCAAGUCUGGUGCCAGCAGCCGCGGUAAUUCCAGCUCCAAUAGCAUAUACUAAAGUUGUUGCAGUUAAAAAGCUCGUAGUUGAAGUUAAAGGUUUACUGGGCUAAAGUUAUUUGCCCUCUGGUGGUUAAAUCAACUCCAGUAUCUCUUUUUUUAAUAGUUCAGCUUCUAUUAUCUUUGAUAGUAGUUGUUUGGACAUUUCACUGUGAGAAACUGUGUGUUAGCAGCGUUCGCCUGAUCUUUGCAGAUGGUAUGAUGAAA